GGGGAUGGGGCCAUAGCUCAGGAGUAGAGUAUCUGCUUUGAAUGCAGAAGGUCCCAGGUUCAAUCCCUGGCAUCUCCA